rnacentral:lncRNA from 1 species
UGGGAACAAGAUGGACUUGACCGUCAACUGUCGAACAUAUUGAACUCACUGAAGGAAUCUCAAGAGUAUUACUUCUUUGGACUCUGCCUACAGCUUAUUCGUGGGAACAAGAUGGACUUGACCGUCAACUGUCGAACAUAUUGAACUCACUGAAGGAAUCUCAAGAGUAUUACUUCUUUGGACUCUGCCUACAGCUUAUUCGUGGGAACAAGAUGGACUUGACCGUCAACUGUCGAACAUAUUGAACUCACUGAAGGAAUCUCAAGAGUAUUACUUCUUUGGACUCUGCCUACAGCUUAUUCGUGGGAACAAGAUGGACUUGACCGUCAACUGUCGAACAUAUUGAACUCACUGAAGGAAUCUCAAGAGUAUUACUUCUUUGGACUCUGCCUACAGCUUAUUCGUGGGAACAAGAUGGACUUGACCGUCAACUGUCGAACAUAUUGAACUCACUGAAGGGAUCUCAAGAGUAUUACUUCUUUGGAGUAAGAAAGAACUCGACCGAUGACGGUAAAAUUUUCUUCGAAAUCACACAGACGGCAGUACAACUCUUGUCCACGUAGUGAUGAUUGUCUCACUUACAUUACUUGUAUUAUUAUUAUUUUUAUUAACCAUUCCUAGUUGAUUUAGUACCAUAAGCUGGUAAAGUGGGGGAGCUGUAUGAAAUAGCUGUAAAGAUAAAGAGCUUCAAUAUACUGAAGACACCACAUGCAGGUAUUGUUAUCAGUAAUAGUAAGUGUUGUAUACAUCUAAAAUACCUUAAUGUAAGACAAAUACAAUGAUAAAAUACAAUAAAUCAGGUAAA